rnacentral:rRNA from 1 species
GGUUAAGCGACUAAGCGUACACGGUGGAUGCCCUGGCAGUCAGAGGCGAUGAAGGACGUGCUAAUCUGCGAUAAGCGUCGGUAAGGUGAUAUGAACCGUUAUAACCGGCGAUUUCCGAAUGGGGAAACCCAGUGUGUUUCGACACACUAUCAUUAACUGAAUCCAUAGGUUAAUGAGGCGAACCGGGGGAACUGAAACAUCUAAGUACCCCGAGGAAAAGAAAUCAACCGAGAUUCCCCCAGUAGCGGCGAGCGAACGGGGAGCAGCCCAGAGCCUGAAUCAGUGUGUGUGUUAGUGGAAGCGUCUGGAAAGGCGCGCGAUACAGGGUGACAGCCCCGUACACAAAAAUGCACAUGCUGUGAGCUCGAUGAGUAGGGCGGGACACGUGGUAUCCUGUCUGAAUAUGGGGGGACCAUCCUCCAAGGCUAAAUACUCCUGACUGACCGAUAGUGAACCAGUACCGUGAGGGAAAGGCGAAAAGAACCCCGGCGAGGGGAGUGAAAAAGAACCUGAAACCGUGUACGUACAAGCAGUGGGAGCACGCUUAGGCGUGUGACUGCGUACCUUUGUAUAAUGGGUCAGCGACUUAUAUUCUGUAGCAAGGUUAACCGAAUAGGGGAGCCGAAGGGAAACCGAGUCUUAACUGGGCGUUAAGUUGCAGGGUAUAGACCCGAAACCCGGUGAUCUAGCCAUGGGCAGGUUGAAGGUUGGGUAACACUAACUGGAGGACCGAACCGACUAAUGUUGAAAAAUUAGCGGAUGACUUGUGGCUGGGGGUGAAAGGCCAAUCAAACCGGGAGAUAGCUGGUUCUCCCCGAAAGCUAUUUAGGUAGCGCCUCGUGAAUUCAUCUCUGGGGGUAGAGCACUGUUUCGGCAAGGGGGUCAUCCCGACUUACCAACCCGAUGCAAACUGCGAAUACCGGAGAAUGUUAUCACGGGAGACACACGGCGGGUGCUAACGUCCGUCGUGAAGAGGGAAACAACCCAGACCGCCAGCUAAGGUCCCAAAGUCAUGGUUAAGUGGGAAACGAUGUGGGAAGGCCCAGACAGCCAGGAUGUUGGCUUAGAAGCAGCCAUCAUUUAAAGAAAGCGUAAUAGCUCACUGGUCGAGUCGGCCUGCGCGGAAGAUGUAACGGGGCUAAACCAUGCACCGAAGCUGCGGCAGCGACGCUUAUGCGUUGUUGGGUAGGGGAGCGUUCUGUAAGCCUGCGAAGGUGUGCUGUGAGGCAUGCUGGAGGUAUCAGAAGUGCGAAUGCUGACAUAAGUAACGAUAAAGCGGGUGAAAAGCCCGCUCGCCGGAAGACCAAGGGUUCCUGUCCAACGUUAAUCGGGGCAGGGUGAGUCGACCCCUAAGGCGAGGCCGAAAGGCGUAGUCGAUGGGAAACAGGUUAAUAUUCCUGUACUUGGUGUUACUGCGAAGGGGGACGGAGAAGGCUAUGUUGGCCGGGCGACGGUUGUCCCGGUUUAAGCGUGUAGGCUGGUUUUCCAGGCAAAUCCGGAAAAUCAAGGCUGAGGCGUGAUGACGAGGCACUACGGUGCUGAAGCAACAAAUGCCCUGCUUCCAGGAAAAGCCUCUAAGCAUCAGGUAACAUCAAAUCGUACCCCAAACCGACACAGGUGGUCAGGUAGAGAAUACCAAGGCGCUUGAGAGAACUCGGGUGAAGGAACUAGGCAAAAUGGUGCCGUAACUUCGGGAGAAGGCACGCUGAUAUGUAGGUGAAGUCCCUUGCGGAUGGAGCUGAAAUCAGUCGAAGAUACCAGCUGGCUGCAACUGUUUAUUAAAAACACAGCACUGUGCAAACACGAAAGUGGACGUAUACGGUGUGACGCCUGCCCGGUGCCGGAAGGUUAAUUGAUGGGGUCAGCGCAAGCGAAGCUCUUGAUCGAAGCCCCGGUAAACGGCGGCCGUAACUAUAACGGUCCUAAGGUAGCGAAAUUCCUUGUCGGGUAAGUUCCGACCUGCACGAAUGGCGUAAUGAUGGCCGGGCUGUCUCCACCCGAGACUCAGUGAAAUUGAACUCGCUGUGAAGAUGCAGUGUACCCGCGGCAAGACGGAAAGACCCCGUGAACCUUUACUAUAGCUUGACACUGAACAUUGAGCCUUGAUGUGUAGGAUAGGUGGGAGGCUUUGAAGUGUGGACGCCAGUCUGCAUGGAGCCGACCUUGAAAUACCACCCUUUAAUGUUUGAUGUUCUAACGUUGACCCGUAAUCCGGGUUGCGGACAGUGUCUGGUGGGUAGUUUGACUGGGGCGGUCUCCUCCUAAAGAGUAACGGAGGAGCACGAAGGUUGGCUAAUCCUGGUCGGACAUCAGGAGGUUAGUGCAAUGGCAUAAGCCAGCUUGACUGCGAGCGUGACGGCGCGAGCAGGUGCGAAAGCAGGUCAUAGUGAUCCGGUGGUUCUGAAUGGAAGGGCCAUCGCUCAACGGAUAAAAGGUACUCCGGGGAUAACAGGCUGAUACCGCCCAAGAGUUCAUAUCGACGGCGGUGUUUGGCACCUCGAUGUCGGCUCAUCACAUCCUGGGGCUGAAGUAGGUCCCAAGGGUAUGGCUGUUCGCCAUUUAAAGUGGUACGCGAGCUGGGUUUAGAACGUCGUGAGACAGUUCGGUCCCUAUCUCGCCGUGGGCGCUGGAGAAUUGAGGGGGCUGCUCCUAGUACGAGAGGACCGGAGUGGACGCAUCACUGGUGUUCGGGUUGUCAUGCCAAUGGCACUGCCCGGUAGCUAAAUGCGGAAGAGAUAAGUGCUGAAAGCAUCUAAGCACGAAACUUGCCCCGAGAUGAGUUCUCCCUGACUCCUUGAGAGUCCUGAAGGAACGUUGAAGACGACGACGUUGAUAGGCCGGGUGUGUAAGCGCAGCGAUGCGUUGAGCUAACCGGUACUAAUGAACCGUGAGGCUUAACCUU